rnacentral:rRNA from 1 species
UACGGAGGGGGUAAGCGUUGUUCGGAUUUACUGGGUGUAAAGGGUGCGUAGGUUGUUUUCUAAGUUGGAUGUGAAAGCCCUCAGCUUAACUGAGGAAAUGCAUUCAAAACUGGAAAUCUAGAGUGUAAAAGAGGAAAGCGGAAUUCCUAGUGUAGCGGUGAAAUGCGUAGAUAUUAGGAGGAACACCAGUGGCGAAAGCGGCUUUCUGGUUUAACACUGACACUAAUGCACGAAAGCCAGGGGAGCAAACGGG